AACCCUCGUCGCUAGUAAUUUCUCUAGCGAGACUGCCCGUAUAACGUGGAGGAAGGUGGGGAUGGCGUCAAGUCAGCAUGGCCCUUACACCCUGGGCGACACACACGCUACAAUGGGUGGUACAGCGGGUUGCUAAGGAGCAAUCCGGAGCUAAUCCCUGAAAAACCAUCCUCAGUUCAGAUUGCAGGCUGAAACUGCCUGCAUGAAGUAGGAGUUGCUAGUAACCGCGGGUCAGCACACCGCGGUGAAUACGUUCUCGGGCCUU
rnacentral:rRNA from 1 species